rnacentral:rRNA from 1 species
AAGACCUUGCGCUUUUGGAGCGGCCGAUGCCUGAUUAGCUAGUUGGUGGGGUAAUGGCCUACCAAAGCUUCGAUCAGUAGCUGGUCUGAGAGGACGGCCAGCCACACUGGGACUGAGACACGGCCCAGACUCCUACGGGAGGCAGCAGUGGGGAAUUUUGGACAAUGGGCGCAAGCCUGAUCCAGCCAUGCCGCGUGAGUGAAGAAGGCCUUCGGGYUGUAAAGCUCUCUCAGCCGGGAAGAAAAGGUUGCGAUUAAUAAUCGCAAUUUAUGACGGUACCGGAAGAAGAAGCACCGGCUAACUACGUGCCAGCAGCCGCGGUAAUACGUAGGGUGCGAGCGUUAAUCGGAAUUACUGGGCGUAAAGGGUGCGCAGGCGGUUUUGUAAGUCAGAUGUGAAAUCCCCGGGCUUAACCUGGGARCU